rnacentral:rRNA from 1 species
CAAUAGCGUAUAUUAAAGCUGUUGCGGUUAAAAAGCUCGUAGUUGGAUUUCUGUCAAGUACAACUGGUCCGCCCUCCGGGUGAGCACAUAGUUUGGUCUUGGCAUCUUGCUGGAAAUUGUUGCUGCACUUGGCUGUGUGGCGCAGUGUCCAGCACUUUCACUUUGAGGAAAUUGGAGUGUUUCAAGCAGGCACAUGCCUUUGGACACAUUAGCAUGGAAUAAUUAGAUUGGGUUUUAGCUCCAAUUUGUCGGUUUCUGGAGCUGAGGUGAGAAUUAAUGGGGAUUGUUGGGGGCAUCCGAAUUUAGCCGUCAGAGGUGAAAUUCUUGGAUCUGCUAAAGACGGACGACUGCGAAAGCGUUUGCCCAGGAUGUUUUCAUUGA